UGAGUAACGCGUAUGCAACCUACCUAGUCAGAGGGGAACUAACCCGGCGAAAGUCGGACUAAUACCGCAUAAAACAGGGGCACGCAUGGUGAUAUUUGUUAAAGAAUUCGCUGAUAGAUGGGCAUGCGUUCCAUUAGGGUAGUUGGUGAGGUAACGGCUCACCAAGCCGACGAUGGAUAGGGGAACUGAGAGGUUGGUCCCCCACACUGGUACUGAGACACGGACCAGACUCCUACGGGAGGCAGCAGUGAGGAAUAUUGGUCAAUGGGCGAGAGCCUGAACCAGCCAAGUCGCCGUGAAGGAAGAAGGAUCUAUGGUUCGUAAACUUCUUUUGCAGGGGAAUAAAGUGCGGGACGUGUCCUGUUUUGUAUGUACCCUGAGAAUAAGGAUCGGCUAACUCCGUGCCAGCCGCUGC
rnacentral:rRNA from 1 species